UGAAAUGGCCAGAGCGGGAGGAAACAAACGUACGAUUAAGCUGGUCUCUUCUUUGAUUUACUAAGUCUUCCCAUCUUCUCUCCUGUCUGCAGUCUCCAUCCCUCCUUCAUUUCGUCCUUAUAUUGGUUACCUGGUCUGCUAUCCGAGACAUCUUAAUUAAAGCGAAGUGGCAGCAGCACGGUACGAUAUGAUGGACAAACACUCCAUCUCACCCAACACUGAGGAAGACGGCGCUUGGCAAGGGGAGUGUCUGGACGUUUGGUCUCCGGUGCCCAGCAGGGUGGUGUUCUUGGAUUUCCUUCUUAUUCCCUGCAUUAAUUACACACAAAGAAACCCAUCCCAGCAGCUGUCAUCAUCUGCUCCCUUGCCUGGGAAGGCCAUAUAGACAGACAGCUUGUCUCUGAUGCCCCAUGAUGGCUUCAAUCCAGUUUGCUUGUUGUCUUCAGUGAUGCCAAAAUAAAAAAAGACAGCAACUCCACUUUCUUGACCACCUCCCGCUCGAUGCUGGGCCGACAUGUGGCUUGGGUUCACCCAAGCAACUGUGUGACAAAGGUUGCCAACUCCACUUGUAUGAAGAUAUAGAUAGACAGGGUUCAGACAAAGCUGGGUCUUCUUCAACUGUGAUGACAGGAAGCCCAAUUCAGUCAGCUCUUCACUUGAGGACAGGGUUAACAGGCAGCAGAGCUCAUCCUCCAAUUCUGCCAAGACCCUGCAAGGUUGACAGACACCAGGGUUCGUUCUCCAAUUCUGCCAAGAUUCCACAGGGCUGACAGCCACCAGGGUUCAUCUUCCUCUCCAUCUCUCUUCUUCAGCACCUCUUAAAGCUUCAACUCCUGCCAGCCCACUCUCCACUCCUCAGCACUGAUCACCUGGUCCCUCCUGGCUCCCCAGAUUUGACUGGGCUGGUGGCCUACAGCACCAAUUAUUGGCUGUUAAUGCAGGAGUGAGAUGGCAGCCUAAACUUUCUUGCAGCAAGCAGGCAGUCCUUCACUCUCCUGUGUCAAUCCUGCAAGGAAAUCGGAGUUCUUAGUGAAACACUCUAGAGAACCAUCAACAGAUUCUAUAAAUGAUGAUGUAGUGGUACUAUAUUUCCUAACAUCAGGUGCCUGACGCCUUCAUCAUGCCUAAAGUUGUAGAAAAGAGGAAGCGUGUUGUGCUUACACUUAAGCAGCUGAUCAGAUCAGCUGCUGAUUAAGAUCAGCUGAUCUUUGUUAUGUGGUAAGAUGCGUGAGUGUAGGGUGGUGAUUGUGGACAUAAUUUAACUUCUAUUCAAGUAUCUGGCAUGUCGGCGGUCCCGUUGAUGCCGGAUAAGAGGGAUUUUACUGUAUUUACCUGUUAUGCUCCCUCCUCCUCCUCCAUUUAUCUAUUUUUCUCCUACUACUACUACUACCACACGCAGAACACCCCACACAAACUCAUCAAAUAAAAGACCCGACACAUCCAAACUCACCCGAAACACUUGAAACACCCUAAAUAAACUCAAAAACAAACUCACAACACCUCAAUAUGCUCCCAAACACACCCAAAACACUCCACAAUAUACUCAAAACACUUUACAAGACUAAAUACAUGUAAAAUACACCUAAAAACAUCCUAAGCCACACUUUAAACACCCUAAUGUGUAGCCAUUAGGAUACAAACAGUCCGUACAGCUUGUAAUAAUAUCUAACCUGUGGAAAUAAAUUAUUCUGAAUCGGAA